CAGGACGAACGCUGGCGGUAUAGCCUAACACAUGCAAGUCGAACGAGAUCAUUUUUUGUUCCAAAGAAAUGAUUGCAGUGGCGGACGGGUGAGGAACACGUAAGAACUUACCUUUUGGCGGGGGAUAACAACGGAAACUGUUGCUAAUACCCCCAUAAUGCUGAGGAGCGAAAGGGAAACUGCCAAAAGAGAGGCUUGCGUCUGAUUAGCUAGUUGGUGGAGGUAAAUGCUCCCCAAGGCGACGAUCAGUAGCUGGUCUGAGAGGAUGAUCAGCCACACUGGGACUGAGACACGGCCCAGACUCCUACGGGAGGCAGCAGUGGGGAAUUUUCCACAAUGGGCGAAAAAGCCUGAUGGAGCAAUACCGCGUGGGGGAUGAAGGAUCGUGGUUCGUAAACCUCUUUUCUUAAGGAAGAAUAAAUGACGGUACUUAAGGAAUAAGCACCGGCUAACUCCGUGCCAGCAGCGGC
rnacentral:rRNA from 1 species